rnacentral:tRNA from 1 species
GACCCAGUGGUCCAAUGGCAAAGCGUUCGCAGCGGAGCCGGAGAGUCCUGGGUUCAAUACCCGGUGGGGUCG